UACGGGGGGGGCAAGCGUUGUUCGGAAUUACUGGGCGUAAAGCGCACGUAGGCGGAUUGUUAAGUCGGGGGUGAAAUCCUGGAGCUCAACUCCAGAACUGCCUUCGAAACUGGCGAUCUUGAGUCCGGGAGAGGUGAGUGGAACUGCGAGUGUAGAGGUGAAAUUCGUAGAUAUUCGCAAGAACACCAGUGGCGAAGGCGGCUCACUGGCCCGGUACUGACGCUGAGGUGCGAAAGCGUGGGGAGCAAACAGG
rnacentral:rRNA from 1 species